rnacentral:rRNA from 1 species
UUGGGNGUAAAGAGUUNGUAGGNGGUUGGNNGNGUCUGNAGUGAAAAUCCGAGGCUCAACCUCGGACUUGNUGUGGGUACGGGCAGACUAGAGUAUGGUAGGGGAGACCGGAAUUCCUGGUGUAGGGGUGGAAUGCGCAGAUAUCAGGAGGAACAACGAUGGCGAAGGCAGGUCUCUGGGCCAUAACUGACGCUGAGAAGCGAAAGCAUGGGGAGCGAACAGGAUUAGAUACCCUGGUAGUCCAUNCCGUAAACGUUGGGCGCUAGGUGUGGGGCUCAUUCCACGAGCUCCGUGUCCGUANCUAACGCAUUAAGCNNCCCCCCUGGGGAGUACGGCCGCAAGGCUAAAACUCAAAGGAAUUGGACGGGGCCCCCACAACCGGCGGAGGAU